GUUUUAAUAGUUUAUAUAAAAACUUUGAUCUUGUAAAUCAAGAAUGGAGUUUACUCCUUGAAACA
rnacentral:tRNA from 1 species